rnacentral:rRNA from 1 species
UAGGGAAUAUUGGACAAUGGGGGCAACCCUGAUCCAGCCAUGCCGCGUGAGUGAAGAAGGCCCUCGGGUUGUAAAGCUCUUUUGUCCGGAAAGAAAAGCAUUCGGUGAAUACCCGGAUGUUCUGACGGUACCGGAAGAAUAAGCACCGGCUAACUUCGUGCCAGCAGCCGCGGUAAUACGAAGGGUGCAAGCGUUACUCGGAAUUACUGGGCGUAAAGCGUGCGUAGGUGGUUGUUUAAGUCUGAUGUGAAAGCCCUGGGCUCAACCUGGGAAUGGCAGUCGAAACUGGGCAGCUAGAGUGCGGUAGAGGGUAGUGGAAUUCCGCGUGUAGCAGUGAAAUGCGUAGAUAUGCGGAGGAACACCGAUGGCGAAGGCAAUCCCCUGGGCCUGCACUGACGCUCAUGCACGAAAGCGUGGGGAGCAAACA